rnacentral:ncRNA from 2 species
GGAGGAGCCUCUGGAGAGACCCGUUAAAUCGGGCGCCGAAGGAGCAAGCCUGUUUCAUCAGGUGAAACUCUCAGGCAAAAGGACAGAGGAGAUUGU